rnacentral:rRNA from 1 species
AUCUUCCGCAAUGGACGAAAGUCUGACGGAGCAACGCCGCGUGAGUGAUGGAGGCUUUCGGGUCGUAAAACUCUGUUGUUAGGGAAGAACAAGUGCUAGUUGAAUAAGCUGGCACCUUGACGGUACCUAACCAGAAAGCCACGGCUAACUACGUCCCACCACCCGCGGUAAUACGUAGGUGGCAAGCGUUAUCCGGAAUUAUUGGGCGUAAAGCGCGCGCAGGUGGUUUCUUAAGUCUGAUGUGAAGGCCCACGGCUCAACCGUGGAGGGUCAUUUGAAACUGGGAAACUUGAGUGCAGAAGAGGAAAGUGGAAUUCCAUGUGUAGCGGUGAAAUGCGUAGAGAUAUGGAGGAACACCAGUGGCGAAGGCGACUUUCUGGUCUGUAAUUGACACUGAGGCGCGAAAGCGUGGGGAGCAAACAG